UUAUUUUUUCCCAAGUGGAUUUGGCAUAACUGGUAGUUUUGCCCUCUUUCCUAAAUUGUGGAAUUUAAGUUUUUAUCAUUAAGUUGAUUGUUAAAUUGUAAUUUGUGAACUUUAUCAUUUCUUCUUCCAAAAUUUUCUUUGUUAACAUCUAGGCGAUGACACAGGAUGUUCAGUUCAAAUAUCAGUUCAGUUUUUAAUUUGUAGUUCCUAAUGCGCCAUUAUGAAGUAACAAGAAGAUUUCAGAAAAAUUAUUGAGUAACAACCAUUUGGGUGCUUUUUGAAUGGCUAAGUUCUCUCUCUCUCACUCUCUCUCUCUUAUGUACUCAGCCACCGAAAUUGAAGUUGGGUUGAUGUUUAUCAGUUUGAUACAGAGGAAUUAACGAUGUUGACAUGCCCAAUAGCCACUGCACCCACUUCGUCUUUCCUCUUUGCCGGCUGUUAGGUGAUGGAAUAUAGAAGUGGGUGACAUGGAUUGCACAACUGGGAGACAACGCGUAUCUAACGUAAAAAGCUUUUUCUUUUUACUGUCAUUCCUUCUUUAAAUACUAUAAAUGCAUACACAUAUGUAUGCGUAUAUUGUAAUGGAUAGAAUGAAUUUAUUUAAAAUGAAUAGAUCAAAUGGUUCCAUUUGAAAGAUAUUUGUUUAUGAGAUUGUAAUUCCCUUUGAAAGAUCAAUUGGAUUUGCAAAUGGAUCUUUUGAUCUUUUUCAA